rnacentral:rRNA from 1 species
GGUCGGAUUAGCUAGUUGGUGGGGUAAUGGCUCACCAAGGCGACGAUCCCUAGCUGGUUUGAGAGGAUGAUCAGCCACACUGGGACUGAGACACGGCCCAGACUCCUACGGGAGGCAGCAGUAGGGAAUCUUCCGCAAUGGGCGAAAGCCUGACGGAGCAACGCCGCGUGAGUGAUGAAGGUCUUCGGAUCGUAAAACUCUGUUAUUAGGGAAGAACAAAUGUGUAAGUAACUAUGCACGUCUUGACGGUACCUAAUCAGAAAGCCACGGCUAACUACGUGCCAGCAGCCGCGGUAAUACGUAGGGUGCGAGCGUUAUCCGGAAUUAUUGGGCGUAAAGAGCUCGUAGGUGGUUUGUCGCGUCUGUGAAAUCCCGGGGCUUAACUUCGGGCGUGCAUCGGGUACGGGCAGGCUAGAGUGCUGUAGGGGAGACUGGAAUUCCUGGUGUAGCGGUGGAAUGCGCAGAUAUCAGGAGGAACACCGAUGGCGAAGGCAGAUCUCUGGGCCGUAACUGACGCUGAGGAGCGAAAGCAUGGGGAGCGAACAGGAUUAGAUACCCUGGUAGUCCACGCCGUAAACGAUGAGUGCU